AGUAGAAAUUACAAUAAAAUCUCUUCUCCCUAUUGGGCCAAAAGUCGGCCCAACCUUCUUCUUCUUCCUCCUUCCUGUUGGCCUAGCCUAGUCUCCCCUUCUUUCCCUCUCAAUCUCUCUCCUCAGCCCCUAUCACUCCCAUCCUCCUUUGGGUUGCCUCCUCGGCCGCGCCCAUGCUGUCACUACCUUGUUGGCUUAGUGCCAUCCCUCCCUAGCCCAACUCCCUGUUCUUAUGGGAUGUAUAUAGUAUAUAUCAUAGGUAAAGACUAGAAAAACAAAGCAAGAUAAAUACGAUUUAAAUCUACUUUGUCUUUAGUAUUUUUCUAGGAUUCUAUCUUUUAACGCUAGAGUUACCGUUAAGUAUGUCAUAUCCAACCAUAUUCUUUUGACACCACUACUGCUUAGUUUAUAU
rnacentral:lncRNA from 1 species